rnacentral:rRNA from 1 species
GACGAACGCUGGCGGCGUGCUUAACACAUGCAAGUCGAACGGAAAGGCCCUGCUUUUGUGGGGUGCUCGAGUGGCGAACGGGUGAGUAACACGUGAGUAACCUGCCCUUGACUUUGGGAUAACUUCAGGAAACUGGGGCUAAUACCGGAUCGGAGCUCCUGCUGCAUGGUGGGGGUUGGAAAGUUUCGGCGGUUGGGGAUGGACUCGCGGCUUAUCAGCUUGUUGGUGGGGUAGUGGCUUACCAAGGCUUUGACGGGUAGCCGGCCUGAGAGGGUGACCGGCCACAUGGGGACUGAGAUACGGCCCAGACUCCUACGGGAGGCAGCAGGGGGGAAUAUGGCACAAUGAGCGGAAGCCUGAUGCAGCAACGCCGCGUGCGGGAUGACGGCCUUCGGGUUAUAAACCGCUUUCGCCUGUGACGAAGCGUGAGUGACGGUAAUGGGUAAAGAAGCACCGGCUAACUACGUG